CCUACGGGUGGCAGCAGUGGGGAAUAUUGCACAAUGGGGGAGACCCUGAUGCAGCGACGCCGCGUGAGUGACGAAGUAAUUAGUUAUGUAAAGCUCUAUCAGCAGGGAAGAAAAUGACGGUACCUGAGUAAGAAUCCCCGGCUAACUACGUGCCAGCAGCCGCGGUAAUACGUAGGGGGCAAGCGUUAUCCGGAUUUACUGGGUGUAAAGGGAGCGUAGACGGCAAUGAAAGUCUGGAGUGAAAGGCGGGGGCUCAACCCCAGGACUGAUCUUGAAACUGUACGGCUGGAGUGUAGGAGAGGUAGGUGGAAUGCGUAGUGUAGCGGUGAAAUGCGUAGAUAUUAGGAGGAACACCAGUUGCGAAGGCGGCUUACUGGACUGUAACUGACGUUGAGGCUCGAAAGCGUGGGGAGCAAACAGGAUUAGAUACCCUGGUAGUC
rnacentral:rRNA from 1 species